UNCCUCAGCUUGGCCUAUCCUAACAUGACAU
rnacentral:piRNA from 1 species